rnacentral:rRNA from 1 species
CCUACGGGUGGCAGCAGUGAGGAAUAUUGGUCAAUGGACGAGAGCCUGAACCAGCCAAGUAGCGUGAAGGAUGACUGCCCUACGGGUUGUAAACUUCUUUUAUAUGGGAAUAAAGUGAUGCACGUGUGCCUUUUUGUAUGUACUUUAUGAAUAAGGUUCGGCUAACUCCGUGCCAGCAGCCGCGGUAAUACGGAGGCUCCGAGCGUUAUCCGGAUUUAGUGGGUUUAAAGGGAGCGUAGAUGGGUUGUUAAGUCAGUUGUGAAAGUUUGCGGUUCAACCGUAAAAUUGCAAUUGAUACUGGCAGUCUUGAGUACAGUUGAGGUAAGCGGAAUUCGUGGUGUAGCAGUGAAAUGCGUAGAUAUCACGAAGAACUCCGAUUGCGAAGGCAGCUUACUAAACUGUCACUGACAUUGAUGCUCGAAAGUGUGGGUAUCAAACAGGAUUAGAUACCCCAGUAGUC